AUUGAACGCUGGCGGCAGGCCUAACACAUGCAAGUCGAGCGGAUGAAGGGAGCUUGCUCCUGGAUCCAGCGGCGGACGGGUGAGUAAUGCCUAGGAAUCUGCCUGGUAGUGGGGGAUAACGUCCGGAAACGGGCGCUAAUACCGCAUACGUCCUGAGGGAGAAAGUGGGGGAUCGUCGGACCUCACGCUAUCAGAUGAGCCUAGGUCGGAUUAGCUAGUUGGUGGGGUAAAGGCCUACCAAGGCGACGAUCCGUAACUGGUCUGAGAGGAUGAUCAGUCACACGGGAACUGAGACACGGUCCAGAGUCCUACGGGAGGCAGCAGUGGGGAAUAUUGGACAGUGGGCGAAAGCCUGAUCCAGCCAUGCCGCGUCUGUGAAGAAGGUCUUCGGUUUGUAAAGCACGUUAAGUUGGGAGGAAGGGCAGUAAGUUAAUACCUUGCUGUUGUGACGUUACCAACAGAAUAAGCACCGGCUAACUUCGUG
rnacentral:rRNA from 1 species